rnacentral:rRNA from 1 species
ACAUGCAAGUCGAGGGGCAGCAUGGUCUUAGCUUGCUAAGGCCGAUGGCGACCGGCGCACGGGUGAGUAACACGUAUCCAACCUGCCGUCUACUCUUGGACAGCCUUCUGAAAGGAAGAUUAAUACAAGAUGGCAUCAUGAGUCCGCAUGUUCACAUGAUUAAAGGUAUUCCGGUAGACGAUGGGGAUGCGUUCCAUUAGAUAGUAGGCGGGGUAACGGCCCACCUAGUCUUCGAUGGAUAGGGGUUCUGAGAGGAAGGUCCCCCACAUUGGAACUGAGACACGGUCCAAACUCCUACGGGAGGCAGCAGUGAGGAAUAUUGGUCAAUGGGCGAGAGCCUGAACCAGCCAAGUAGCGUGAAGGAUGACUGCCCUAUGGGUUGUAAACUUCUUUUAUAAAGGAAUAAAGUCGGGUAUGGAUACCCGUUUGCAUGUACUUUAUGAAUAAGGAUCGGCUAACUCCGUGCCAGCAGCCGCGGUAAUACGGAGGAUCCGAGCGUUAUCCGGAUUUAUUGGGUUUAAAGGGAGCGUAGAUGGAUGUUUAAGUCAGUUGUGAAAGUUUGCGGCUCAACCGUAAAAUUGCAGUUGAUACUGGAUAUCUUGAGUGCAGUUGAGGCAGGCGGAAUUCGUGGUGUAGCGGUGAAAUGCUUAGAUAUCACGAAGAACUCCGAUUGCGAAGGCAGCCUGCUAAGCUGCAACUGACAUUGAGGCUCGAAAGUGUGGGUAUCAAACAGGAUUAGAUACCCUGGUAGUCCACACGGUAAACGAUGAAUACUCGCUGUUUGCGAUAUACUGCAAGCGGCCAAGCGAAAGCGUUAAGUAUUCCACCUGGGGAGUACGCCGGCAACGGUGAAACUCAAAGGAAUUGACGGGGGCCCGCACAAGCGGAGGAACAUGUGGUUUAAUUCGAUGAUACGCGAGGAACCUUACCCGGGCUUAAAU